UACGGGGGGGGCAAGCGUUGUUCGGAAUUACUGGGCGUAAAGGGCUCGUAGGUGGCCAACUAAGUCAGACGUGAAAUCCCCCGGCUCAACCGGGGAAGGGGCGCCGAUACGGCCGGCCUGGAGGGACGUAGGGGGGGCUGGAACUUCCGGUGGAGCGGUGAAAUGCGUUGAGAUCGGAAGGAACGCCCGUGGCGAAAGCGAGCCCCUGGACGCCUACUGACGCUGAGACGCGAAAGCCAGGGGAGCGAACGGG
rnacentral:rRNA from 1 species